rnacentral:tRNA from 1 species
GGGCUCGUGAUCUAGUGGCUAUGAUGUCGCCCUUACAAGGCGAAUAUCCCCGGUUCGAGUUGUUAAGGCUCAACCUUAGCAUGAAAGUCCGGGCGGGCCCA